AUUAAGUCGAGUCCAACAACGAUUGUUUUUUUGUACAUUGCAAAAAAUCCAAUGCUAUUGACCUUUUUCCUCGGACGAAAAUGAAACAAAUAGUUUUUCUUCUUCUGAUGUGUCUUGCAAAUCUUAUCGUAUUAUCAGACAGUUGCUGCAGCAAGAUCGGUAGUUGUGACUCUAAAACUGGUUACGAUUGUUGUGAUGACUAUAUAUGUGUGCCACUGAGAGG